rnacentral:lncRNA from 1 species
CACGGCCAAACAACCACACCCACCCAACAAUCAUCCAUUAACUCCCGUCACCAACAUCGGCGACUCAUACACUCUUCCCCCAUCUCCCGACCUCACGAGGCCACACACACACACACACAACCACCUUCAUUCCACGUCACCAAUAUCGGCGACUCAUAACCAUAUCUCCACCUCUCGACCUAAUAGGCCACGCACACACACAAACACCAUUAUUCCGCGUCACCAACAUCGGCGACUCAUACUCACUCCUCCACCUCUCGACCUAAAGAGGCCACACACACACACGAAUACCAUCAUCUCGCGUCACCAACAUCGGCGACUCAUACUCACUCCUCCAACUCUCGACCUCGUUGGGC